UGGUGGAGUGAUUUGUCUGGUUAAGUCCGUUAACGAACGAGACCUUAACCUGCUAAAUAGCUACGCGUAGCUUCGGUUACGUGGGCAACUUCUUAGAGGGACGUUGCGUGUCUAACGCAAGGAAGUUUGAGGCAAUAACA
rnacentral:rRNA from 1 species